UAAUACGUAGGGUGCAAGCGUUAAUCGGAAUUAUUGGGCGUAAAGGGUGCGCAGGCGGUAUUGUAAGUCAGAUGUGAAAGCCCCGGGCUUAACCUGGGAAUUGCGUUUGAAACUGCAAUGCUAGAGUGUGAUAGAGGAAAGUGGAAUUCCAUGUGUAGCAGUGAAAUGCGUAGAGAUGUGGAAGAACACCAAUGGCGAAGGCAGCUUUCUGGAUUAACACUGACGCUCAUGCACGAAAGCGUGGGGAGCAAACAGGAUUAGAUACCCUGGUAGUCCACGCCCUAAACUAUGUCAACUAGUUGUCGGAUCUGUUUAAGGAUUUGGUAACGAAGCUAACGCAUGAAGUUGACCGCCUGGGAAGUACGGUCGCAAGAUUAAAACUUAAAUGAAUUGACGG
rnacentral:rRNA from 1 species